rnacentral:rRNA from 1 species
UACAGAGGUGGCAAGCGUUGUUCGGAAUUACUGGGCGUAAAGGGCGCGUAGGCGGCUUUUUAAGUCAGACGUGAAAUCCCCCGGCUUAACCUGGGAACUGCGCCUGAUACUGGGAAGCUUGAGUUCGGGAGAGGGAUGUAGAAUUCCAGGUGUAGCGGUGAAAUGCGUAGAUAUCUGGAGGAAUACCGGUGGCGAAGGCGGCAUCCUGGACCGAAACUGACGCUGAGGCGCGAAAGCUAGGGGAGCAAACGGG